AGCCAGCAGCCGCGGUAAAACGUAGGAGGCGAGCGUUAUCCGGAUUUACUGGGUGUAAAGCGCGUGCAGGCGGUUGGCUAAGUUGGGUGUGAAAGCUCCUGGCUCAACUGGGAGAGGUCGCUCAAGACUGGCCGACUGGAGAGCAGUAAGGGAAGGUGGAAUUCCGGGUGUAGUGGUGAAAUGCGUAGAUAUCCGGAGGAACACCAGUGGCGAAGGCGGCCUUCUGGACUGCUUCUGACGCUCAGACGCGAAAGCUAGGGGAGCAAACGGGAUUAGAGACCCCGGUAGUCCUAGCCGUAAACGAUGUGAACUUGGCGCUGGGUGGGUAAAACUAUUCAGUGCCGCAGCUAACGCGAUAAGUUCACCACCUGAGGACUACGGCCGCAAGGUUAAAACUCAAAGGAAUUGACGGGGGCCCGCACAAGC
rnacentral:rRNA from 1 species